UUGUGUGCGCCGCCCCUCCUGAGGGUAGGGUACCGGGAGUUCUUUCGUUCUUUUCACCAUCAUCGUAGGUUCUUUGGUUGUAGGCGGCGGUACCCGCACCGCCUCUGCGGGCUAGGCGAGCCCGCGCCGCCGCGCGUGUUGGAGUCGGGCGGCGCCGACGGGGGGCCGCAGAUGAAGUCGGGCUGCGCCCUCCUCUCGCAUCGCGAGGAGCUGGCGACCUAGCGGCCGCCGCCGUUCCUCCACGGGCGGCUGCGCGCCCCGAAGCAGAGGGUGCGGCUGUAGAUGUCGCUGCCGGGGCCGCGCGACGCCGCCGCCGUGGGCGGCCGCUCGCGGGCGCGCCCGGUGCGUAGACCACCAAGGAGACGCUCUGGUCCAAGGUCACGGGGCCGCGGCGCCGGUUCGCGCGGCCGGCGUUUCAGCUGUGGCCGCCCAUGACCGCCCUCCUGGCCACGUUCCGGCUCCCCCCGCCCAAGUUCUCGAUGAAGCAGAAGAAGGAGCCGGGGCCGGGGCCGGGCAGGUCCUUCCUCUUCUGUGGCACCCACCGCGUCCUUAAGUGGUCGCGGUUCCUGCUGCCGCGGCCGUUCUUCCCGCACGGGCGCGAGAUGUACGAGAUGCAGAGGGGCGCGCGGUGGCUGCUGCUCGACUCCCCCUAGAUGCCCCUCCUGCCGCAGUGCCACCCCGGGCUGCCCCUGUUCUUCGGACAGGCCCGGCGGCAGGGCCGUCCGACAAAGCUGCGGCAGCACCGCGACGACGGCGGCCCCUCGCAGGCACCAGAGCCCGUUCUCGCGCAGCUCCACAGCGUCCGCGGCGGAGGCGGCGUCGGCCGCACAGUAGAAGUAGUGCUGCCGGUCGUCCUCGUCUUGAGGUGCCCCCGCCGUAGCGCCCGCCCGCAAGAACCAGUCACGGUCGUCGUCGGCCGCUUCUGCCAGUACUGCUAUAUCAAACUAGUACUGCUAGCUCGAGCGGAUGGACUUUGUUCCUAUCAACUAAUGUCCUGUCGCCGUGCAUGCUAACUAACUAACUAGACGAUCUUUGUUUGCUAAAAAACCAACUAAACCCCCUAAUUAAACACAUAUACCCAAGAACGUCAAACGAGUUGUAAAUCAUACGUAUUAUAUACCAUCAUCAUCAAGAGAGGCAGAUGAGACAAACUUGCAACUAAUAGACAGUACGCGAAAGCUGUAAAAAACACAAACUGCUUUCUUUACAACUAAUACGCGGGUCAAAAGUCUAAGGAC
rnacentral:rRNA from 1 species